rnacentral:rRNA from 1 species
UACGUAGGGGGCAAGCGUUGUCCGGAAUCAUUGGGCGUAAAGAGCGUGUAGGCGGCCCGCUAAGUCGAACGUGAAAUCCCCGAGCUCAACUCGGGAACUGCGUCCGAUACUGGCGGGCUUGAAUCCGGGAGAGGGAUGCGGAAUUCCAGGUGUAGCGGUGAAAUGCGUAGAUAUCUGGAGGAACACCGGUGGCGAAGGCGGCAUCCUGGACCGGCAUUGACGCUGAGGCGCGAAAGCGUGGGGAGCAAACAGG